CUAAUGCACAUGGUGGCUCUACAAGUAAGAAGGACUACACUAAUCGUCAUAGAUGGGAAGUAUAUAAUGCUUUGCUUGAAAGGAGUGUUAGAGGGAGAUUAGGUAGAAAUGUUGUUAAAGAAGUAGCGAAUUUGCAUUCCAUGCAUAUUAGAACUGUUCAGCGAAUUUGGAAACAAGCAAAGGGGACUCCAGCUGGUGCAUUGGUUGAUGUUUCUCAAAAAAGGAAGAACAGAUGUGGUCGCAAGAGGAUUCAGAUAGAUCUCCAACGUGUUUUGGACAUUCCUCUACGUAAAAGGACAACUUUAAGGAUGCUAGCUGAAGCUAUAGGAGUUAGUCACUCAACUCUGUUUAAGAAUGUGAAAGAAGGUGUCAUGAGGCGACAUUCUAAUGCUCUCAAACCACAUCUAAAAGAAGAGAACAAGGUGGCAAGGCUCAGAUUUUGCAUGAAUAUGUUGGACCCUGUAAGCUUGAGUCAUGAACCAUAGUUUAUAGAUAUGUACAACAUUGUACAUAUUGAUGAAAAGUGGUUCUAUAUGACAAAGAGAACCGAGACCUACUACCUUCUACCUGAAGAAGAUGAUCCUAUAAGGACAUGUCAAAGCAAGAAUUUUAUUGGGAAAGUCAUGGUUCUAGUUGCAAUGGCAAGGCCAAGGUUCAAUGCUCAAGGAGUUGAAACUUUCUCUGGUAAGAUAGGUGUGUUUCCUUUCAUCACACGUCAGCCUGCUCAAAGGAGGAGUAGAAAUAGAGAAGCUGGAACAAUAGUAAUCAAACCGGUUACUUCAGUCAAGAGAGGUGAUGUUAGAAAAAUGUUGUUGGAAGAUGUUAUACCUAAGAUUCGUGAGAAGUGGCCUCUUGAAGAUGAAGGAAAAACAAUCUUAAUUCAACAGGAUAAUGCUAGAACUCAUGUGGAUCCAACUGAUACAAAUUUUCAAGAACAUGCUUCACAGAACGGAUUUGAUAUCAGACUGAUGUGUCAACCGCCUAAUUCACCGGAUAUGAAUGUUCUGGACCUUGGUUUCUUUAGUGCAAUACAAGCACUACAACAUAAGGUGUGUCCCGAAACCAUUGAACAGCUUAUAGAUGCAGUCAAUACAGCUUUUGAAGAGUAUCCAACUAGGAAGAUAAACCACAUCUUCUUAACUCUGCAACUCUGCAUGAAAGAGACAAUGAGGAUUGGAGGUUCUAAUAAUUACAAGAUUCCACACAUAAAGAAAGAAGCUUUGGAACGAGAGGGUUUGCUUCCGAGACAAAUCAAAUGUGAUCCUUCCAUUGUAAACAAUGUCUUAAAUCAAUUAAGAGACUAAGGUUAGCUAUCGAAUUGAUAAGGUUUCAAUUCUGUUAAUAAUGUUUUACUUUCAAUCAUGUGUGUUUGUUUGUUUUUCUGUCUCAGGUACGUUGAUCAGUUCAGAAGAGUGGGAUUAAUGUUCAAUGCCAGGUUAGAUUUCAUAUAACGUCUAUCUCCUUAGAUGAACAAGGGUCUAGUUUUUCCCAAGUCCUUGAGUCUUCCCUCUCUGUUCUUAGCAUGAUCUGAAAUGUUCAAGCAGGUGUUACUGAAAGUAGCAGUUUGCUAUGAGUAUAUGGGUAUGGGACAGAUUAUUCUUCAAUUUAUAGCCUUUUGAAUAUCGUGUGUCUUCCUUAUUCUGGUUCAACUUUGCAUCUCUGGACUUCUUCAUCUGACAAAAGCUUCAUUGGAGGCUUACUCUUUGUUUCUUCAUCUUCUUCUAUUUUAAGGGUUUUUCCUGGAUGAUUUUUGGGCUUUUGUUUAUGGAUGUUUUGUUGUUUUGACCUUGAGUUCAUAUCAAAAUUUUCAGAAUUUCUUGACAGUCUCAAAAGGAUUAUUAGGUCAGAUUUCUUUGUUUUGGUAUCUUACUUAGCUCACUCUAGAAUUAUA